UGCAUACAUCUUUGUUUAGCGUACCGGAAGUCGGCAGCAGGUGCCGCAGGAAGUGUGUGCGCGGUCCAACCUUGUCUGCUGAACAAGAGGAAGCUAACGGAAUUUAUUUGCAAAAAGCCGCUCAAUAAUUACAACAAAAGAAAAAUAACAUAUAAUAUUGCGUUAUGUCUAAAGCUGAAAUGAGUGCUGCUGUACCCAACCAUCGGAGGACAAAGCCUGGUGGCAUAAAGCCCGGGGUUGUGAACGCCGGCGCAACUGGACCGACCUCCCAGAUCCCUGGUCUGUCCCAGAGCGCUGACGAAACCUCUCCAGCGGAGAGGACCAGCGGACGGCGAGUUGGGAUAUUUGAGAGUGACUCGGACUACGUCAAGCUUGCAAAGGGGGGGGGACACAAAGGGCUGUUGAGUCAUGAUGGUGAUGCUGAUGACAAACCAUGGAAGCCCUACAAUCCACCCAACUGGUUUGGAGAUGAUGAGGCAAACAAUGGAAACAAAGCAACAUCUCCCGACAGCCAGAUGAAGGCAGGCAUGCAGCCUCUGGCUGCACCGUUUGGCACUGAUAAUGGUUCGUCCUGGGAAAGAGAGACUGAUAGAUUUUCCCCUGAUAAAGAUAAGAUGUCUCCUGAUGGCAUUGCCGAUCAGAUGCAGGGUCUGUCCAUGACCAGCAAAUACAAGAGAACGUCUUAUGAUAAGAAGGCUCCCCCAGUCAGCAUGUCCAAGCUGCUGAGUCAUGGCUAUGUUGAGGACAAGAAGAAGUCUCCUAAUGACGACGAUGCCUCAAGUACGAUAUGGGCUCCUUUUCAGAUGGACCGUGAUUGGCUGCAGGUACCCAGAUUCACCAGCCAAUAGCACGGGGGAGAGGAGGAGGAACUAUAGCUGAGGCCCACAGAGCCUGAGGAGCAACACAGCACAGGUGUGACCUCGGAACAGACGAGCACCAUCGCGACGGAGGACGUGGACGAGCUGGAGUAGUGUGUACAGCUUCUCGUCUCGAUGGAAAGGGGGUCAUCCUAACACUGGUUCAUGGUUUCACAAAUCCACGAACACAACACUACGCCCUUCUCGGAUUCACUCGCAUUUAUUGUACAUCCACUGACUGUUAGGUUUUGUACUCAUGUUGCAAAGGUACUGUCGUCUAUUUAUUUGCUUAAAUUUGUGAAAAGAAUGCACUCAGAUUUUGUUGAGUAGAUGUGUUGGUGCUCGCUGUAUUUUUUUUAAUUUCUGCAUUUCUCGAUUUGAAAGACGAGUUGUGCGCAGGGCAGGAAACUUAACGUUUUGGGUUCACAGAGGCUGUUUGAGUGAAAAAUCAAAAUUUCACCAGCCAGUUUGAUUUUAAAUUCACCUGCUGUUGGCUGGUGUUAGUUUCCUCCCUGGUUGUAUGAAGAUCGAGUUAGUGAACUUUAAAAGUGUUCGUGCUAAUGAAUUGUGGUUCCAGUGACGUGAAAUAUUAUUUGUUUUGAGCAAGGGCUCCUGCUCUCUGAAGGGAUGUUAGAGGUUUGUGUGUUUUUAGCUGCAGGGGUGCACACGAUCAUUCGUUGAGACAGUAACCCUGCAGCUGUGAACACAUGCCAAACUGCAUACUGACGGCCACAGCCGCUGUUGUCUGGUUAAAAUGGACCAAAAAUGAUUUUUAGGUUGCUGCUCUGCAAAAGGUUGCUCUUCUUCAUUGCCCCCCACCCCCCACCCUCCAUUCUGUUGUUUUCAGGUCCGUAAAAUCGAGAAAGAAGCAUCAUUUUAGGCUUAGUCCAAAAAUCACAAUAAAAAAGCCUCAUAUUAAGUAAACUCAAACAGAAUAAACUGGUCAAUUAACUCCAGAAGAUUUUGAGUACUAGCAGGUGCUGCAAGUUCCAUUUUCUCAUCUGUUUAUUAAUUAGGACGCUCAUCAGGAAAUCAAUAACAAUGCCAAGUGUUUGAUACUGGUCCAAAUAUGUCAGAAACUUGCUAAUGAUGAACUAGAUUUGGUCUAUUCUGCAUGUUUAAGCCCUUCAGUGUUAUGUUAUUGCAUUCUCAUUCCACCUAUUAACCCCAAACUCGUGCAACAACAGAUAAACCUGGGAAAUUUAGGGGAAAAUGGCCACCUUCAGCAGACUGACAAGCUGAAAGUCAAGUCCAGUGUAAUUCCCUCUGAAGAUUAAGGCGAGCGAGUUUUAGAAAGUGAGUUCUGAACAUGCCAACCAAGCAGUUUUUUCCUGCUCAUGCAGUGUCUUGACUUAGUAGACAUCAGUAGGAGAACUUAGUGUUAGUGCACUGCCUGGUCACACCAAACCCUCCAUCUCGUCACAUGUUUAUCUAUCCGAUUGGAGUUUAUUCUGUUCAGAUGAGAGAAACGGUUACUGCGGCAACAUUUUUGCAUAUGGAAACUUUGCAACUAAGCUGGUGGUCGAGUGGUUAGGACGCGUACCAUACUAACCAUAAGAUUCCCAGAUUUCAGUCUGGUCAUACCCCUGCUCUCUUUCUGGGCAAAAUCCCAAAUCGACAUGUCUUAAAAAACAUUGAAUUCCGUUUCCUAAAAGCAAACAGCCUUAGAAGGAAUUAAAAAGUCUUAAAUUUAAUUUACGAAAGUCUUACAUGUUCUCUUGCGUGCUAUAGGCAGUAAUAUUAGUUAGACAAUGUUUUUGUAUCCGAUUGCAGGCUGUCAGGAGACGUUAUACGUCUGUAAACUAAAAGUGUGGUUGUUGUGACAGCGGAUUGUGCUGCAGGAGGCUGUUUUUAAUCUUUUUGUGGAGUUUCAGUCAAGCACUGUCACUACUGUUAGCUACAGCAACUAGGACGCUCAUGUCUCUUAAUGAGCAAGAUUUUCGAUUUUAGCAAAAACUUAAUUAAACAAUUACUAAUUGGUUAAUCCAUCCAUCUAUUUUUCUGCUGCUUAUCUGGGUCAAGGUUGCAUUAAAAUAAUUGAUUACAUCAUGAGGAAUUAUUGUCAUCUAGUGCUUGAAAGAUUUCUAGGCCAUAUCGGCCCUACUGGUUUCCCAUCAUACUUUGACAUUUGAUCCAGUAUGAUUGUGGUAUUAAAUUGCAAUUUGUGGUAUUAAUAAGGUCUUAGUCUGAAAUUUAACUUGUUGAACCCUGCAGAAACCCUGUCGACAAAAGUGUCUUUUCAAAACACUUUCACACGCUUUUGUUUUACUCUUUUUUGUGUGUGUAUGUGCUGGAGUUUUUCAUUUGGAACAUCUUUACCUAGAACCAGGACCCGAAUAAGUCAGUUGAGGAGCAGACUGACUAUAUGAAAUGUUAAUGGAUGGAGGGGACAGGAAACAAUUCCACUGGGCGCACUGGUCAGUUUUGAGGCCAAACCACCACAGCAGACAAUGGAAACGACUCCAUCUCUUCCUCCUCUGCUUGCUUUGUGUGGUUGCAGAAUUAGCUUGACUGUCAGGAUCAUAAUAUUUAAAGAAAAAAGUAAUAGACUGAUGGUUAGAUGGUAGACAGUUGAUGGAUAGUUCAGCCUGGAAUCAUUUAACGGUUAUAAUGUUUUAGCCAUAACUGUGAACCUGACAGUGACAGUAAAAUCCUAAUCCUACAGGGACAUUUGUCGGGCGAAGAAAAUGCUCUUAAAAUGAAAAGGAUAGGGAUGAUUUAUUUGGGUGUAACAGCCAGAUUAGAGCUACGAGUCCGUCCCAGUAAAUCCAACACAUUCAUCACCUGCGUCUCAAAAUGAUGCCGCUGCAGUACCAGACUCUCAUUUGAAAAGAAUUUAUUUCAAAACUCUUAAGAGAUGUGCCAUGUUCAAUACAACUGUCCAGCUGUCACUUUUUUCCAACACUACAUAUUUAAGCAGUGAUGCAUAAUUUAUCUGUAUGUGGUAUUAAAAAGUGUCAAUUGUUGUUCCACACUAGACGCUUUACUGUGUUUGGUGACACUGGAUUUUCUUCUGCAGUACAAGGAAUGGCGAAUGUAUCAUCUUUUGGUAUUAUUUGCUUUGAAGAACUGGUUUAUAUUUAUUUGAACUGUUAAAUAUUCAGGUACAGUAUUUACAGUUAAGUGUUUCGUCAAGUUUCUUUCUCUUCUCCCAGUGAGUUGGUGGCAUAUCAGUUUACAAACCAAUAGCGGGAACCUUUAGUGACUUAACUUGGCAAAGUCUUCCCCAAAGUUACUUGUAUGUCCUCUCUCCCUCUUGCUUUGUUAUUUUAAAGUUGUAUUAGUUUAUUUUUAAAUGCAAAUGUACCAGAGGAGACUGAAGAAGGCAACUUCUUCAACAGAGGAUCCCUGCAGUGUUUGUAGUGAGGAGAAAUCCACCUGACCCAACUCAAUGUAAGACCCUGCUUAUCUCGAUAACUGCACACAGACUCUCAAUUAUCAUUUAAAUAAAUGGGCAUGUGCAUGAA